GAUGCUCUACCCUGUACGUCAGGGUCUUGACAACUCUCUCUAUCAAUCGCCUUAAGGGAAUUCAAAAUCUCUUUCGGUCGCGAUCGGAAGAUGAGAAUACCCACUUGGAAUAUCCGGGGGCACAGUUUAAGAGAUUCAACGGCAUGGUGGAGCCCGA
rnacentral:other from 1 species